rnacentral:rRNA from 1 species
AUUGAACGCUGGCGGCAGGCCUAACACAUGCAAGUCGAACGGUAGCACAGAGAGCUUGCUCUCGGGUGACGAGUGGCGGACGGGUGAGUAACGUCUGGGAAACUGCCCGAGGGAGGGGGAUAACUACUGGAAACGGUAGCUAAUACCGCAUAAAGUCGCAAGACCAAAGUGGGGGACCUUCGGGCCUCCCACCAUCGGAUGUGCCCAGAUGGGAUUAGCUAGUAGGUGGGGUAAUGGCUCACCUAGGCGACGAUCCCUAGCUGGUCUGAGAGGAUGACCAGCCACACUGGAACUGAGACACGGUCCAGACUCCUACGGGAGGCAGCAGUGGGGAAUAUUGCACAAUGGGCGCAAGCCUGAUGCAGCCAUGCCGCGUGUAUGAAGAAGGCCUUCGGGUUGUAAAGUACUUUCAGCGGGGAGGAAGGCGGUGAAGUUAAUAGCUUCACCGAUUGACGUUACCCGCAGAAGAAGCACCGGCUAACUCCGUGCCAGCCGCCGCCGUAA